rnacentral:lncRNA from 12 species
GAGUCUCUCUUGGUGAUCUAAUAACUUCGCAUGAUUCUGAAAAACAAGCUCAAGAUGGUAACAGUGUUGCUCUCUACUGCAACUACACUGGUUCUGUGUAUAAUCUGCUGUGGUAUCGUCAGUAUCAAAGAUCCAAACCAGAACUGCUUCUCUCCAUGGCUGAAUCUGGAGAUCCAGUUAAAGCCGAUCCAUCAGCACACUGGUUAUCAGCUAAAGUUGACAAAAAUAGAAAGCUCAUGCAACUGAAAAUCAGCCCUGCUAAAGUAUCAGACUCUGCACAGUAUUACUGUGCCCUGCAGCCCACAGUGACAGGAAACCCUUCUUUUUGCAAAUUAGUCAUACUUGUCAUUCAUUGAUAUCUAACAAGCACAUGUAUUCUACACUAUGUAUUAUUUAUGUGACUGCAUCAGCCAUCAGUAACAGCAUCUCUUAAUGAGUCCACAAGGAUUAAUACAACACAUAUUUCCAUAGAUAGGCGGAGCUUAAGGUGGAAUAGAGCAGAAGAGCUCAAAGAGGCUUGAUACACCUACUUAUAGAUCAUUAAAUUCAAAUUACAUACAACAAUGCUCAUCAUCUGCUCUGUUUUAACAUUUGUCUUGAGUUAUGGUGAAGCUAAUAAAAGUCCUAUCAGUUCAGAUAAAGCAUCUUUGUCUUUAAACGAAGGCAGUUAUGCUACUCUGUCCUGUACAUUUGAUGAAUCAGCUUACCGUCUCCACUGGUAUCGACAGAAGUCUGGAUCGAAGUUAGAGUUUUUGGUGCUGAUUGAUAAAUCCUCCAAAUUUGUAGUGCCCGCUAGUCCACCUCUUCCACAUAUGUCCACCAGUCUCCAUAAUAACAAUCGUGUGGAUCUGAUCAUCUCCUCUGCUGCUGUAUCAGACUCUGCUCUGUACUACUGUGCUCUGGAGCCCACAGUGACAGGAAAGCCUGCAACACAGUACAAAAUCCAAGUUUUGAUGAUUAUUUUAAAUGAAUAAAUUACUUGUACUGAGGCUUUUGCAUAUACAGUAUAUAGUCCUCCAUGAUUCUCUGUUUAUACUGCAUUUCAGCAAUCAUAAUUUAACUGCUCAUGAUGACCACCAAUAGAACUAGUUAAAAUGUCAGAAUUGUAGACUACCAGUAAACUAAUAACUAAUUGCCAUGAUCUGUGGUUUGACUAGCUAAACUCCAUUUAUUCUUAUUUUAUUCACACAUUUUUUUUCUACCUCAAAACAAUUGCUUUAAAGAAUAUUUGUUCAAAAUGAAAAUUAAAAAAUGAUUUGAAAUGAUGAAACUUGGGA